rnacentral:rRNA from 1 species
UUAGGAAUCUUCCGCAAUGGGCGCAAGCCUGACGGAGCGACGCCGCUUGGAGGAAGAAGCCCUUCGGGGUGUAAACUCCUGAACCCGGGACGAAACCCCCGACGAGGGGACUGACGGUACCGGGGUAAUAGCGCCGGCCAACUCCGUGCCAGCAGCCGCGGUAAUACGGAGGGCGCAAGCGUUACCCGGAUUCACUGGGCGUAAAGGGCGUGUAGGCG